rnacentral:rRNA from 1 species
AUGAACGCUGGCGGCGUGCCUAAUACAUGCAAGUCGAGCGAACAGAUGAGGAGCUUGCUCCUCUGACGUUAGCGGCGGACGGGUGAGUAACACGUGGAUAACCUACCUAUAAGACUGGGAUAACUUCGGGAAACCGGAGCUAAUACCGGAUAAUAUAUUGAACCGCAUGGUUCAAUAGUGAAAGACGGUUUUGCUGUCACUUAUAGAUGGAUCCGCGCCGCAUUAGAUAGUUGGUAAGGUAACGGCUUACCAAGGCAACGAUGCGUAGCCGACCGGAGUGGAUGAACAGCCACAGUGGAACUGAACCACGGCCCAGCCCCCUAGGGGAGGCAGCAGUGGGGAAUUUCGCAAAAUGGGCGAAACCCUGCCACAGCAACCCCGGGUGGGGGAAGAAGGUUUUCGGUUCUUAAAGCUCUUUUUUUGGGAAAGAAAAGAAGUAGAUUAACAACCCCCCGUUUUGACGGUCCCUAACAAAAAAGCCCCGGCUAACCCCGUG